GACGAACGCUGGCGGCGUGCUUAACACAUGCAAGUCGAACGGAAAGGCUCCAGCUUGCUGGAGUACUCGAGUGGCGAACGGGUGAGUAACACGUGGGUAAUCUGCCCUGCACUCUGGGAUAGGCCUGGGAAACUGGGUCUAAUACUGGAUAUGACCUUUCUCCUUAUGGGGUUUGGUGGAAAGUUUUUCGGUGUAGGAUGAGCCCGCGGCCUAUCAGCUUGUUGGUGGGGUGAUGGCCUACCAAGGCGACGACGGGUAGCCGGCCUGAGAGGGUGAUCGGCCACAUUGGGACUGAGAUACGGCCCAGACUCCUACGGGAGGCAGCAGUGGGGAAUAUUGCACAAUGGGCGGAAGCCUGAUGCAGCGACGCCGCGUGAGGGAUGACGGCCUUCGGGUUGUAAACCUCUUUCAGCAGGGACGAAGCGUAAGUGACGGUACCUGCAGAAGAAGCACCGGCUAACUAUGUG
rnacentral:rRNA from 1 species